rnacentral:piRNA from 1 species
UUUUAACAAAAGCGUUGUUUA